rnacentral:rRNA from 1 species
CAUUAAAUCAGUUAUCGUUUAUUUGAUAGUACCAUACUACUUGGAUAACCGUGGUAAUUCUAGAGCUAAUACAUGCUAAAAACCUCGACUUCGGAAGAGGUGUGUUUAUUAGAUUAAAGACCAAUGCCCUCCGGGGCUCACUGGUGAUUCAUAAUAACCUCUCGAAUCGCACGGCCCUGCGCCGGCGAUGGUUCAUUCAAAUUUCUGCCCUAUCAACUUUCGACUUUAGUGUAGUGGACUAAAGUGGUUGCAACGGGUAACGGAGGGUUAGGGCUCGACCCCGGAGAAGGAGCCUGAGAAACGGCUACUACAUCCAAGGAAGGCAGCAGGCGCGCAAAUUACCCAAUCCCGACACGGGGAGGUAGUGACAAUAAAUACUGAUACAGGGCUCUUUCGGGUCUUGUAAUUGGAAUGAGUACAAUUUAAAUCCCUUAACGAGGAACAAUUGGAGGGCAAGUCUGGUGCCAGCAGCCGCGGUAAUUCCAGCUCCAAUAGCGUAUAUUAAAGUUGUUGUGGUUAAAAAGCUCGUAGUUGAACCUGGGCCCCGCGCCCGCCGGUCCGCCUCACCGCGUGCACUGGCGCGGCCGGGGCUUUCACUUGGGGAACCGCAUGCCCUUCGCUGGGCGUGCGCGGAACCAGGACCUUUACUGUGAAAAAAUUAGAGUGUUCAAAGCAGGCCUAUGCUCGAAUACAUUAGCAUGGAAUAAUAGAAUAGGACGCGCGGUUCUAUUUUGUUGGUUAUGGGACCGCCGUAAUGAUUAAUAGGGCCAGUCGGGGGCACAGUAUUCAAUAGUCAGAGGUGAAAUUCUUGGAUUUAUUGAAGACUAACUACUGCGAAAGCAUUUGCCAAGGAUGUUUUCAUUAAUCAGGAACGAAAGUUAGGGGAUCGAAGACGAUCAGAUACCGUCGUAGUCUUAACCAUAAACUAUGCCGACUAGGGAUCGGGCGAUGUUACAUUCUGACUCGCUCGGCACCUUACGAGAAAUCAAAGUCUGKGGGUCCUUGGGGAAGUAUG